CAAAGGUUCUCAGUGAGGGAAUUUUGUGGAUGGUCUCUGCCGUUAAGGAUUUCAGUGUAUCACAUUUAAAGCUUAAGGAUUUAAUCGAUUUUCUUAAAGAAACUGGGCUGCAGUCAAGUGCAGCUGCUAGCUGCUACUAGAAAUGCUUCAAUUAAGUUCUUGGGUGUUCUGCACAGACUUGUUGGUCCAGACAUUAAGGGUUUCUUGCUGAUGUUAAGCCUGCACUACUCAGUGCCCUUGAUACAGAGUAUGAGAAGAAUCCAUUUGAGGGAGCAUCUGCAAUCCCCAAGAGAACUAUCAAGGCAGCAGAGUCAUCUUCAUCUGUGGCGGCUGGUGGGCUGGAUGGCUUGCCUCGUGAAGACAUUAGUGGAAAGAUCACUCCAAUUCUCUUGAAGACCCUGGAAAGUCCUGAUUGGAAGGUACGUAUGGAGUCCGUGGAUGCUGUAAACAAAAUACUGGAAGAGGCUAAUAAGCGCAUUCAAGCUACUGGAACUGGUGAGUUAUUUGGGGCUCUUAGGGGACGGCUCAUUGACAGCAACAAAAACUAGUCAUGGCUACGUUGACAACCAUUGGUAAUGUUGCAUCUGCAAUGGGACCUGCUGUGGAGAAAUCGAGCAAGGGUACUCUGUCUGACAUGUUGAAAUGUCUUGGUGACAAUAAGAAGCACAUGAGAGAAUGUGUGCUGAAUACUUUAGACUCUUGGCUAGCUGUUGUUCAUCUUGAUAAAAUGGUUCUUUAUGUUACAAUUGCUUUGACGAAUUCUAAACUUGGUGCGGAAGGGCGUAAAGAUCUUUUUGAUUAGUUAUCUAGGCAUCUUUCUGGGCUGAGUAGUUUUGCUGAAGCUGCGCAACUUCUGAAGCCAGCUUCUGCGAUGACAGUAAGUUUUGGUUACUCGUUCCCCUUGGUAUGUGUCAUUAUGAAAUUCAAUUAGGUCUAACAUAUAAUGUUAUUGGAUAAUGUAUGAUGGCUCCUUAGGAUAAAUCCUCCGAUGUUCGCAAGGCAGCAGAGGCUUGCAUUACUGAGAUACUGAGAGUUAGUGGACAUGAAAUGGUAUUUACGCAUAUGAGAAAAAUGAUCAUUUGUUCUCUAGGUUUCCUUAUCAUUCAUUAGAUAUCAAUUGCCUUGAAAUUUUUUAUUUAUGAAAUUCCGGUUCACCUUGGACGGAUGUGUUACACAAUGUUCAGGACAUGGUGUAGAACAUGCAAACAACAACGAAUAGAAUUACACGUGUUGUUAAA